rnacentral:lncRNA from 1 species
AAGUACAUCUUGAAUGAUCAUCAAUGAAACUAACAAAAUAACGAAAUCCCAAGGUUGAACUGACUCUACUAGGACCCCAUAUAUCUGAAUAAACUAAAGAAAAAACAGACUCUGCACGACUCUCAAUACUAUAAGGAAAGGAGGCUCGAGUAUGUUUCCCGAGCUGACAUGACUCACACUCUAAUGUGGAUAAACUAGGCAAACUAGGCAUCAUCUUCUGAAGCUUGGACAAGCUAGGAUGUCCUAAACGACUGUGAAGUAGGUCUGGAGGAUCUGCAACUAGACAGGCCUGGGAGGAUUUUAGUGAGUUAAGAUAGUAGAGUCCUUCUGAUUCACGUCCUGUUCAAAUUGUCUGUCAUGUACUGCUGUCCUGCAUACUAAAAGAGUCAUCAAUAAAAUAUAUACCACAAUGGAGGGCACGAGUCAAACGACUAACAGAUGCAAGAUUAAAAGGACAGCCAGGGACAUAAAGAACGGAAUCUAGAAGUAGGUCUGGAGGAUCUGCAACUAGACAGGCCUGGGAGGAUUUUAGUGAGUUAAGAUAGUAGAGUCCUUCUGAUUCACGUCCUGUUCAAAUUGUCUGUCAUGUACUGCUGUCCUGCAUACUAAAAGAGUCAUCAAUAAAAUAUAUACCACAAUGGAGGGCACGAGUCAAACGACUAACAGAUGCAAGAUUAAAAGGACAGUCAGGGACAUAAAAGAACAGAAUCUAGAGUAACACAGGGUAGGGGAUUCGCUUGUCCAACUCCUUUUGCUUUAGUUUGAGAUCUAUUGGUGAAAGUAACGUUGGGAAGAGACUGUGAAUACGCAAUAUUUGACAAAAGGGAUUUAUUACUAGAGAUAUGAUCAGAAGCAACUGAGUCCACAACCCAUUGUUCAAGAGGACUAGACUGGGAAACAGGAGCAAAAUAAGUACCACCUACAUAAGUAUCAGUCUGAGCAACAGCGGCUACUUGUGGAGAUGUCUACCUACUUGCUCGAUAUUUAAGGAACUCAUUAUACUUCCCUUCAGAUACAGAAAAUCCCUGGUUACAUACAGUCUCGGUCUGAGCAACAUAAGCAUUUUUGGGUGGUCGACCAUGUAAAGAAUAGCAUACGUCN